rnacentral:lncRNA from 1 species
CUCUGUGGAGCACCUGCCUGGCAAGCACAAGAUCCUGAGCUCAAUCUCUGGUACCAGAAAAAAAGAACCUCUGUAGAGAAGGACACUGGGCUUGAUGUAGUGUACUAAGUAAAGAACUAUUAGGAAGGAAAAGUCUAGUUCACACCAUUAGCUUGAGCCUUUUUUUUUUUUAUAAAUGCUGCUGGGGAUCAACCCUAGGGCCUUAUACAUGCGAGGCAAGCAGUCUACCCCUGAGCCACAUCCCAUCCCAAAAAUUGUUUUAAACCUUUACUUCAGAGUUAUGGCUUUUUAUCAUAAAAAUUACCAGUUUAUUUAUAACUUAACAGAAGGACCAAUUUUUCUUUUUUCAGAGUGAUAUAAAAUUGUUGAUAUUUUUUCUAAAUGAUAGAAAUAAUGUAUGCUCAUUUUAGAGAGAAAAUAAUUUCCUCAAUGCUGAGCAUGUGGGGGCACAACUAUAAUCCCAACACUCAGAGGCUGAUCCAGGAUGAUUGCCAUGAAUUUAAGGCCGGCCUGGGCUACAUAGUGAGUUCAAGGCCAGGCUGAACUACAGAGUGAGACCUUGUCUCAAAAAAACCAGAAAAAUAAAAGGUCCACUCUACCUCUGGAAAGACAAGGGAGGCUACUGCCCAUAGGUGGCUCAAGUUCUUUACCCCAGGUCCAAGAUUUCACUUAAGUGUUGCUAUCUUCAGUUAAGAGACAAAAUCUUUCCAAACAAAUUGAGAUCAGCAGAACAAAGAGCACCACACGGAACCUUCUGGAAGAAUCUGAAAAUAAUUAAGAGUUGCAAGUUUUGGGGUUUUGUUUUUUUUUUGGUACCGGGGAUUGAACUCAUAUCCUUGCGCUUUCAAGGCAGGCAGCAGAACCACUGAGCUAAAUCCCUCAGGAGUUGCAAGUUUUUAAACCAUGUUGGGAGUUCAAGGGCAGCCUGUAAUACACAGCAAGACCCUAUCUCAAAAAAAAUAAUUAAUUAAUUAGGUAAUAAAAGCAUGUAUGUAGUGAAAAAAAGAAAGAAAAAGAAACCCCUGCCACAACAGUACAAGCAAGGCCUAGAAGGAGCCAAUUUCCCAGGAAGAACCAACUGUCCCUUUGUGUAACAGCCCUCCUUGGCUUACAGAGCAGCAGAGGAGGCAGGGCUAAAGAAAGAAGUGUGAAGGUACCAUUGUUGCACUGUACUUUGGGAUAGAGACUGAGUGCUAAGCAGCCCUGCCCCUCCUACCAACUAAUGACACCAGAAGAGGAGCAAUGGUCACCAUUUCACCAUGUGUACACAUAACCUGGGUCAUGCAGAGCUUCGCUGUGUGGGCCCAGGGGAGUGUUUCUGCCAGCCCCCAGUUCCUCCCCUCCACGUUCUGCUCUCAUUCAAAGAUAAAGACUAAGAGGAACAGGCAUGUGCUCCACUGGAUGAUAAAUAAAAAGAAUGAAUUUUUACCUUCCCUACUUGAUAUUAUAUACAAAAAUGAGUUCAAGAUGAAUCACAGACCUAAAUGAGGAUAGGAAAACAAUAAAAGUUCUAGGAAAAAAAUGAGAAUGUCUUCAAAAUUCUAGGCAAAUGUUUCAUGAACAGGACACAAACUUAAAACAAGGCUUUUCAACCAAGGAAACCAAUUAAAGGAAUAAAGAGGCAAUAUAUAGACCAAAAUAUUAACAAUACGUGCAAAUAAUAAGUACUAGAAUCUAGAUAUAUAAAUGAUUCCAACAAUUCAAUAUGAUAAGCCAAUUUUAAAAUGAGCAAAAGACUUGGACAGUCACUUCACAAAAAAAGAUAGCGGAGUUUAGAUAUGCAUAGCCAAAGUAUGGCAUUUCAAAAUCAUUAUUCAUUAGGGAAAUCAUCUAAAGCCACUCUUGAGAAACCACUGUGCACCAACCAAAUGGCUAAAAUUGAGACUAGCACCUGGUAUAGUGGUGCACACCUGUAGUCUCAGCUACAAAAGAGUCUUAGCCUGUGCAAUUUAGCAAGACCCUGUCUCAAACUAUACAGCAUAAAAAUAGCCUGAGCAUCGUAGUGCACUCUUGUAAUCCAAGGACUCAGAGGCUGAGGCAGGAGGGUUGCAAGUUUGAACCCAGCCUGGGCAGCUUAGUAAAAUCCUGUUUCAAUAAAUAAAAAGGGUUGCAGAUAUAGCUCAGUGUGAAGGACAGGGGUUGUCCAGUACCCCACCCCACCACACACACACAUACACACAAAGAUAAAUAAUAAAAAAUUGUAAAAGGCUGGCAUGUAGUUAGUGACAAAGUCCUUGUUUAGCAUCCACAAGGUCAUGUGUUCAAAUCUCCAGUAUAAAAAAAGUCCCCAGCGAGGUGGUGGGCUUGGGAAAUCUACAGAAAUGAAAUCCACUCUCUAAAUCCAAAAAGGAAUUUACUUACUAUCCAAAGAUCUUUGGGACCAAUUACUGGGCCAUGUGAAAGAAUUCCACCUGAGAAUUUCUGUAAGUUGAUGUUUGAUAAUCCUUUACCUUUAUCUACAUAGCAUUUCAAAAUGUACAUGAUCUUACUUGAUGCCCAUGACAACCCUCAAUAAAUAUUCAAGAGCAAAUACUGGAUAGGUCAUUGUGCUUAGAACAGUAAGGCACCCUUCAUUUUUUUUCCCUCUUGGCCAUGAGGCUGUAGAGUCUAUCAGCUGGGACUCGUGGUUACAAGUGGCACAUUAUGGUUUAUAUCUAAAUGCUCCCCAAGAGCCCCAUGGGCUGUUUUGUUUUGUUUUGUGGAGACAAGGCCUUGCUAUGUAGUUCAGGCUGACCAGUGAACUCACCACAAUCCACCUGGUAAGUGGGGCUUUCAAAGGUGAUUGAAUCAUCAGGGUGAUAAGCUAAAUGGAUGUUAGGAAGUGGGGCUUGCUCUGAUGAAGCAGAUCACUGGGACCAUGAUCUGGAAGAGUUUAUCUCCUUCCCAGCUCAUCCCUUCUUUCUCUGCUUCUCAGCUGCCAUGAGGUGAGCAGCUUUCCCUCCACCAUGCCUGUCUGCCAUGCUGUUCCUUCUUUGGAGCCAGCCAAACAUGAACUAAAACAUGAUAAUAAACCUCUCCUCCUUUAAGUUGUGAGUGUCAGGUAUUGUGUGUUAGCAAUAAGAAAGCGACUAUGACAUGCCAAAAGCCAACUUGAACUGACAUAAGCAAUAAAAGAGAAUUUGCUCAUGUACAUGAACUGGUUCAAGUAUGUGAACAACCCAACACCGAUCUACUGGUAGUUUUGGCUGAGGGGUCUAACAGCUGGAUUCAAGUGUUCAGGGUCCCAAAAAUGCCUUCACCAUCAUGCAUGCUGGUUUCAUUCUUUAUCAGUGUAUUGUUUAUAAUCAUGGAAAAUUGAAUAAAGAAUAGCUAAAUAGAUCUGGUAUUCCAGUUCAAAUGUGUGCAGAUGUAAAAUUGUAAUUUUUAUGAUUAUACUUAUUUACAAGAAAUGAUAUCCAGA